UACGUAGGGGGCAAGCGUUGUCCGGAAUCAUUGGGCGUAAAGCGCGUGUAGGCGGCCUUGUAAGUCCGUUCUGAAAGCCCGGGGCUCAACCCCGGGAGGCGGAUGGAUACUGCAAGGCUCGAGUACGGAAGAGGCGAGUGGAAUUCCUGGUGUAGCGGUGAAAUGCGCAGAUAUCAGGAGGAACACCAAUUGCGAAGGCAGCUCGCUGGGACGUUACUGACGCUGAGACGCGAAAGCGUGGGGAGCAAACAGG
rnacentral:rRNA from 1 species